rnacentral:rRNA from 1 species
UACGUAGGGUGCGAGCGUUGUCCGGAAUUAUUGGGCGUAAAGAGCUCGUAGGCGGUUUGUUGCGUCUAUCGUGAAAACCUGCGGCUUAACUGUGGGCUUGCGGUGGGUACGGGCAGACUAGAGUGUGGUAGGGGAGACUGGAAUUCCUGGUGUAGCGGUGAAAUGCGCAGAUAUCAGGAGGAACACCGAUGGCGAAGGCAGGUCUCUGGGCCAUAACUGACGCUCAUGCACGAAAGCGUGGGGAGCGAACAGG